AAAAAUGUAACUUUGUUCAUGAAUGUAAAACUAGUUUGUAGUGACCAGUAGGUGGUGCUCAAAACCAGGCAAUUGUCUUGGCAAGCCUACAGAUACCCGGUUCUGUGGAGGAAGCUGGCAACUGAACUUUUCCUUGACUCUGGUCACCCUCCUUCCUACCCUUUCUAAUAGUGUUCUCUGCAGUUAACCACCACUAUUGCGGGGGCGGGGCGCUGCAACAAUCUUAUUCUAGUAAAUCCUACAGCUGUGACAAAUUUGUGUAUCAGCUACCACUUGAGUUGGCCAAUUUUUCCUCACCUGUACAAAUUAGCAAAUUACAAAAAACUUAAGGGGGCUACUUCCCUCAUGGAACUAGAGAAAUUUUAGCCUUUUCACACCCCUCUAAUGUUUCAGCUUGUACUCUCAAGGCCUACCUAAGAAAUGUAUUUUGAUUUCAGAGAGAAACAUCAAUGUCAGUCAUUCAAUUGCCUCCUGCCCUCCCCCUACUGGGGAUUAAGCCAGUAACCUGGCAUGUGCCCUUGACCAGAAUCAAACCCGGAACCUGUCUGUAGGCCAACACUCUAUUCACCAAGACAAACCAGCUGGGGCAAGGCUGCACUCUUGGGUGGAGAUCAUUGGGAGGAAAGGGGGACAUGUAAUUUCAACAAAGGCAAAAACUUCACAAAUUGCUAUCCAUUUGAAAGUCAUUACCUAACAGGAUACAAUUAACAUACAAGCUGUCUGAUUUUGCCACUUUGAGCUGGAUACUAUUACACAGAAUUAAAAUGUUCAGACUCGUGGAAUUCCUUUUCUGUGCAUUGAUUUACCAACUAUCAAAAACUAGAUGGCUACCACUCAAGCAAACAUCAACUUAACCAUAAACCAUCACUGCAUGCAACUACCCCAGCUAGUUUAAAAGUGCUUUCUUACAUCCUACCCAACUGUCACAUUUUAGAACCUAAUUUUCAGUGAGGUUACUUUUAAAGUGGCACUGAGCAAAAUUUCAAAUCAGAGCAAUCUGCAACUAUAUCUCCUUAAACUGCCUAAUCUCCAAUGUGGUAGUAUUUCUCCAACUUUAGAUGAAAAUUCCUAUUGGAAGUGGACUUUGAAGCAUUUAAGUGACAAAACACACUCAACUUCCAGCAUCAAUUUAUUUUUUCCUAGAAUUUGGAUACAGUAACUGCAGCAAGACAGUGCUCAAUACUAUUCAAACCUUACUUAAGGUUAAGCUACCUCAGCAUCUGUAAAUGUGAAUUCACAUUCCAGUAAAACUGGAAAACUAAAAUUUGACAGACCAACGAAUUUACUCAAUAUUGAUAUAACUACAAAAUUUUACGUUAACACAUGGCUUUAACAGAAUUUGGCCUUUUGAAACUAGCUUACAAACACAGUUAUACUCUUUGCUUACCUGUUCUAACCUAUUUAGUGUUACACCAACAGCCCCCCUUUCCCAUAGCUUUUACCAUGAGACAGGCAAUUCAGUGGGGGAAAAAAAAUCCCACAAAAACCCCCCAAAGUUCCCACCCAGAAAAAAAAUGUUAACAGAACCAUCCAAUUGUAAGUAUCAGCAGAUAUAAUACUGGAAAGAGGUCAUGGGCAAUUCUGAAGUCCUUUACCUAAGUAGUAUAACAGAAAGGUACAGCGUUGACCAAAAGAACACACAGGUUUCUCAUUAAACUUUGUUAUUUUAAUGGGUCUCAAAAUUCUGUGACAGAUUUUUGGUCAUGUUGUUUCCAUUAAAAAGUACUGAUUUUAAAAACUAAUAACUUAAAAACUGCCACACACACAAAAGAACCAAAUGGUCCACAAAACAUUCUCCUUUCCUUCUGAAGGUUUUACGAUGCAUUGUAAUCAUUAACCAGUCUUUUACUAUUAAACUUAAAUGGCCAAUUGAGACAAACAGUUCUGAGACCGUUCUUCCACCACUGAUUAAGACUGGGGUGGCAGGUGUUGGAAAUAAUAUUCAUUUAGCCUUCUGAGCUUUCUGGGCAGACUUGGUGACUUUGCCAGCUCCAGCUGCCUUCUUGUCCACUGCUUUGAUGACACCCACAGCAACGGUCUGUCUCAUGUCACGAA